rnacentral:rRNA from 1 species
UACGUAGGGUGCAAGCGUUAAUCGGAAUUACUGGGCGUAAAGCGUGCGCAGGCGGUUAUGCAAGGCAGAUGGGAAAUCCCCGGGCUCAACCUGGGAACUGCAUUUGUGACUGCAUAGCUAGAGUACGGUAGAGGGGGAUGGAAUUCCGCGUGUAGCAGUGAAAUGCGUAGAUAUGCGGAGGAACACCGAUGGCGAAGGCAAUCCCCUGGACCUGUACUGACGCUCAUGCACGAAAGCGUGGGGAGCAAACAGG